GAUGAACGCUGGCGGCGUGCCUAAUACAUGCAAGUCGAGCGAACAGACGAGGAGCUUGCUCCUUUGACGUUAGCGGCGGACGGGUGAGUAACACGUGGGUAACCUACCUAUAAGACUGGGAUAACUUCGGGAAACCGGAGCUACUACCGGCUAAUAUUUCGAACCGCAUGGUUCGAUAGUGAAAGAUGGCUUUGCUAUCACUUAUAGAUGGACCUGCGCCGUAUUAGCUAGUUGGUAAGGUAACGGCUUACCAAGGCAACGAUACGUAGCCGACCUGAGAGGGUGAUCGGCCACACUGGAACUGAGACACGGUCCAGACUCCUACGGGAGGCAGCAGUAGGGAAUCUUCCGCAAUGGGCGAAAGCCUGACGGAGCAACGCCGCGUGAGUGAUGAAGGUCUUCGGAUCGUAAAACUCUGUUAUUAGGGAAGAACAAAAGUGUAAGUAACUGUGCACGUCUUGACGGUACCUAAUCAGAAAGCCACGGCUAACUACGUG
rnacentral:rRNA from 1 species